GACAGAGGUCCCGAGCGUUGUUCGGAUUCAUUGGGCGUAAAGGGUGUGUAGGCGGCUAGGUAAGUCAGGUGUGAAAUCUCACAGCUUAACUGUGAAACUGCGCUUGAUACUGCUUGGCUAGAGGAUCGGAGGGGGUAUCGGAAUUUAUGGUGUAGCAGUGAAAUGCGUAGAUAUCAUAAGGAACACCGGUGGCGAAGGCGGAUACCUGGAAGAUUCCUGACUCUGAAACACGAAAGCCAGGGGAGCAAACGGG
rnacentral:rRNA from 1 species